rnacentral:lncRNA from 1 species
CCAUCAGAAGCCAUCUAUGCGAGCUAGCACUCCCACAAAAAGCUGAUCAGUUCGAGGGUUUGAUGUAGAAGAUCCAUAGAGUCCAAAAAUCUUGUACGACUGUGAGUGACCAGCAAAAACUUUGAUCCAUGAGUUACAAUUACAGUGUUCAUCUAUCCAUGCUCAAAUAUAGGGUUCGAAACCCUAGUAGCUGUAGAUAUAAUCUAU